rnacentral:rRNA from 1 species
GGAUGCGAUCAUACCAGCACUAAAGCACCAGAUCCCAUCAGAACUUCGAAGUUAAGCGUGCUUGGCCGAGAGUAGUACUAGGAUGGGUGACCUCCUGGGAAGUCCUCGUGUUGCAUUCC